CAAUGGACGAAAGUCUGACGCAGCACUGCCGCGUGAGUGAGGAAGGCCUUCGGGUUGUAAAGCUCUGUCAAUGUGGAAGAACAGCUUUUGGUCUAAUAGGCCUUACGCUCUGAUGGUACACAUAAAGGAAGCACCGGCUAACUUCGUGCCAGCAGCCGCGGUAAUACGAAGGGUGCAAGCGUUGUUCGGAUUUAUUGGGCGUAAAGCGCGCGCAGGCGGAUAUGUCAGUCAGAUGUGAAAUCUCGGGGCUCAACCCCGAAACUGCGUCUGAAACUACUUAUCUAGAAUCUCGGAGAGGGAAGUGGAAUUUCGCAU
rnacentral:rRNA from 1 species